rnacentral:rRNA from 1 species
UACGAAGGGGGCAAGCGUUGUUCGGAAUUACUGGGCGUAAAGGGCGCGCAGGCGGCCGUUCAAGUCAGAUGUGAAAGCCCCGGGCUCAACCGGGGAAUAGCAUUUGGGACUAGAUGGCUAGAGUUCGGGAGAGGAGAGUGGAAUUCCCAGUGUAGAGGUGAAAUUCGUAGAUAUUGGGAAGAACACCGGUGGCGAAGGCGGCUCUCUGGACCGAUACUGACGCUGAGGCGCGAAAGCGUGGGGAGCAAACAGG